GAUUCAUUACCCUCUCCCCUCUCUUUCUCCUUCUCCAACAUUAUUCUCUCUCUAAAAUGGCACGAAUGAAGCCCUCUUUGUAGAUAUUGAUGAAGCAACUGAUGAUGAAGAUUUCAACUUGUUCAUUAAAGAAAACAAUCAUGAGCUGCUUCAGCUGUUGCAUGGAAGAUGAUAUGCACAAGGCUGCUGAUAAUGGACCAUUCAUGACAAAUACAACAGGCAACAAUGGAGGCUAUCAUGUUGCUGAAGCUGCACCGAAGGACACAAAAACUGUCGAUGUUCAGCCUAUUACUGUCCCCUCCAUCCCAGUGGAUGAAUUGAAGGAAAUAACAGACAACUUUGGUACAAAAUUUUUAUCAGUUUCUUUAUGACUUAACAGGUUUCAAUGGUAUCAAGACUGAAACAUGAAAAUGUUGUUGAGCUUCUUGGUUAUUUUGUUGAUGGCGGUCUCCGAGUCCUUGCAUAUGAGUAUGCUUCGAAUGGAUCUCUUCAUGAUAUUCUCCAUGGUAAGUAAUGUCAAUUUUUUCCUUUUCUAAGUGGACUCUUAUUCCUGGACAACACCACUACCUCAUGGAGAAGGGUUAAAUUAUUUUUGAAGUGUCUACUCUUAAGUGACUGUUAAAUUAAUUUUUGGUCUUUUUAAGUUUGAAGGUUUGUUACUUUUCCAAUCAGUAUAUUUGAGGCCUUUUUAUGGUUAGUUCUUGCAAGCUUAAAGAAUGGUUGACUGCAGCCUCUUGCUAGAAAAUGAAUUCGAGAAAGGAUGUAUUGCUCUGUUCUUACAAAGAUACAUGAUGCUGUCAUUUAGAACUGUUCAAGUACUGCCUCAGAGCAACUAAAAUCUCCAGAGAGUAAUACGUAGAAGUCACUUCCCUUUCAUGGAUCUAGCCCCCUUAAGCCAAUAGUGCCCAUGUAUUUAAGUGUAUUUCUAUUUUAACUUGAUAAUUUUUUUAAUCCUUUAGUGGCAAUAGAACAUGACUUCAGAACUAAAAAAUGUGUCCUAUAGGUUCAGCACCAUCUAAUAAGCUUUGUCACAUAAAAUACAAGCUCACAAAAGUAUAAUUGAAAAGCAUUCAUGUGUCCGGCCUCAUUUUAUUGGGACACAAGACACAGUUUGGUUUGUUUUGGCUUUGAAAUAUUGCUUGUUUACUGAAUUGUCAUAGUAUCUGAUAGGGAAGUAUGUCAUAGGCAUCCUUUGAUAGUUCAGACCCUGGAAUCCCUUAUUCAAAAAUGUAGCAAUCAUUCAGUUAUUGAACCUGGGGAUGGGGCUGAAGGGUAAAAGAACCAAAUAGUAGAUGAAUCCACUGAUUGUCCCCUCCCCAAAACACCAAUUACAGGUGUUUGACAAUCUUUUUGGUCUGCCCUGUCUGUUAAGUUAAUUUUUGUCAGUGUCAUUCUUGCAUGUUUUGUCUUUCCAUAUGCCUCCUAAGAGACUUUUCUACUUCAGCAGCGCUUUAGGUAAGUUGUCCUUAUAUGCAGAAUUCAAUGUGUCAUCUUUUCUACUUCAGGACUUUGCAAUUAUUUACAAUGGAUUCUUAUUUUAGGGAAUUGACAUUAAAGAAAUGCUUGCUAGUGCAUCAUUGAUGGAUGAGGCAAAUAGGACCACCGUGCCUUGCAAAGGAUGGUCCAUCUCUUUCUAGCUAUACAAAGGUAUUAUUACAUGUUGAGGUGUGUGUCUCCCACAAUAGUUGUGUACCUUUUGUGUGGUCUAUUGAACUUAAAUAUUAUAUACAAAAAAAUAGGCCAGGAUUUGGUGUAUUUGCAAAGGUUAUUUUUCUUGCAUAGUCAAUGAAAUGGGAGUAGGUGGAGAUGUUCAUUGGUGUAAACUAAUCAUGAGGGCGAAAUUAAAGUUAAAAAUUGGUUGGUUCUGUUUUAAAAAAUGAUUAAUCAAAUCAGUUUGGAUUUACUUAUUCAUUAUGAGAAAGCUGUUCGAUUAGACCAUUAUCAAAAUUGCACAACCCACACAAAUCUUUCACUAAACUGCGAGUUUUGUUUUUCUCUUUUAUCAGUUUUCCUCCAGAUGUCCUGAAAUUCAGUUGUUUCCAAGCAGUACAUCUUGGCAAGGCUCUGUUUCGGUUUAGCUUUGUGCAAUACAUGUCAUCAAUUGGAAUGUUGGUUAUUUUGCUUUAAUUUCUAAGGAGUAUCUCAUCCUCCUUCUUGAUGACUUAUAGACCUGUAGCCACCAGCUAUUAUCUUGGUGUUAUCUCCUGCCAAUCCAGUGGGGGAGAAGUGGGAGGUUCAAAUCCCAAUUUUGGCUAAGGGGAUACAUUUUGAAU